CUUCCGGGUGUUCGUUAUCGGAAUAGACUUUGAUAUUGACUUUGAUAUCUGUGUAUUGAUUCUCUCUCAGCGCCACGUUCACACUUUUGCGAGUUUUAUUUCGUUAAACGGAUCGUUUGAACAUAAUUCUGCUGUAAAUAAAUCUUUCCCAUCAUGGAUAAAACCAGCGUGUUUGGCUCAAUGUUCGUCUUCCUGUUGAUUUGUGUUGCUUCGGAGACAACAAGAACUCAUCGACCCGUUCACACACCAUGCAACACCCAGACUUCCUGUGAUACAUGCCUUGCCAAUGUUUCUUGUUUGUGGUGUCUGACCAAUCUAAAUCUGCCUGGAGUAUCCCAUGACGUAUGUGAUUCCUCCAGCAUCAGUGUGUAAACUCUCUCAGGCACGAUGGGGGUUUGCUGGUG